rnacentral:tRNA from 1 species
UUUCUUACUAAUUUAAUUAAAAUAAUGUUUUUUCGCAACAUAAAUCCAUUUAGGGUAAGAAAU